rnacentral:rRNA from 1 species
UACGGGGGAGCAAGCGUUGUUCGGAAUCACUGGGCGUAAAGGGUGCGUAGGUGGCGUGGUAAGUCAGAUGUGAAAGCCCAGGGCUCAACCCUGGAACUGCAUCCGAUACUGCCAUGCUAGAGAACUGAAGAGGAGUGUAGAAUUCUCGGUGUAGCAGUGAAAUGACGUAGAUAUCGGGAGGAACACCGGUGGCGAAGGCGGCGACCUGGGGUAGAUACUGACGCUGAGGUGCGAAAAGCGUGGGGAGCAAACAGGG